AACGUAGGUGGCAAGCGUUAUCCGGAUUUACUGGGCGUAAAGGGUGUGCAGGCGGGGAUACAAGUGGGGGAUGAAAUCUCCCAGCUUAACUGGGAGCGGUUAUGCCAGACUGUAUUUCUAGAGUACGGAAGAGGCGAGUGGAAUUCCUGGUGUAGCGGUGGAAUGCGCAGAUAUCAGGAGGAACACCAAUAGCGAAGGCAGCUCGCUGGGACGUUACUGACACUAAGGCGCGAAAGCGUGGGGAGCGAACAGG
rnacentral:rRNA from 1 species